UACCAGCUCUCCGAGUGGUAGGGAUGAUUAUUGGGCUUAAAGCGUCCGUAGCCGGCUUAGCAAGUCUCCUGUUAAAUUCAGCGACUUAAUCGUUGAGCCGCGGGAGACACUACUAGGCUAGGAGGCGGGAGAGGCCGACGGUAUUCUCGGGGUAGGGGUGAAAUCCUAUAAUCCCGGGAGGACCACCAGUGGCGAAGGCUGUCGGCUAGAACGCGCUCGACGGUGAGGGACGAAAGCUGGGGGAGCGAACCGGAUUAGAUACCCGGGUAGUCCCAGCUGUAAACGAUGCGGGCUAGGUGUUGGGGUGGCUACGAGCCACUUCAGUGCCGCAGGGAAGCCAUUAAGCCCGCCGCCUGGGGAGUACGGCCGCAAGGCUGAAACUUAAAGGAAUUGGCGGGGGAGCACCACAAGGCGUGAAGCUUGCGGUUCAAUUGGAGUCAACGCCGGGAACCUUACCGGGGGCGACAGCAGGAUGAAGGCCAGAUUGAAGGUCUUGCUGGACAAGCUGAGAGGAGGUGCAUGGCCGUCGCCAGUUCGUGCCGUGAGGUGUCCUGUUAAGUCAGGCAACGAUCGAGACCCGCACCCUUAGUUGCUACCGAGGAAGUCUUCCAAGGGGCACUCUAAGGGGACUGCCGCCGACAAGGCGGAGGAAGGAGCGGGCCACGGCAGGUCAGUAUGCCCCGAAUCCCCCGGGCCACACGCGAGCUGCAAUGGCAGGGACAAUGGGUUCCCACCUUGAAAAAGGGAGGCAAUCCCCAAACCCUGCCUCAGUUGGGAUCGAGGGCUACAACCCGCCCUCGUGAACAUGGAAUGCCUAGUAAUCGCGCGUCAUCAUCGCGCGGUGAAUACGUCCCCGCUCCU
rnacentral:rRNA from 1 species